UCAGGGAAACUGUUCUAACGUUCAUCAGCGAAAAGGGUCAGUACCAGAAACUGUUGAAGACCAAACACUUAAAGCAUCUGAAGCAGCUGAUGGUGUCGAGCGGACAGCCGAGCCAGGUGAAGGACCUGCUGGACUGCCUGACCAGCCAGAACUGUCAGGACGAUGCUGACUCGCUCGCUCGGGAGUUCAUGAAACACCGAGAGAAUCAACGGGGAAAAGCCCUGACCAACGGCUCACCUUCACCGAGCUGCAUAAACGAGUUUCUCAACAUGCAGAAUGGAGUUUCAGGAUGAGCUGACGCUGUUUCAGCAGAUGUAUUUAUGUAUUCUUCCACUUAGUUUCUCUUGGGCUAAGAUGCAAUAUUUGCACUUAUUAACCAUCUUUCAACUGUUCAUGAAUUUGAAUAAAUGGUUUUCAUUAUUGAUUGUGGAGAGGAGUUCAUCAGUAUGAAAGGCUCUUAAUCUUUCUUUAUUGUAUUACCUCCCGGCUUCUUUGUCAUAUGUAUAUUGUUAUAACUGCUUACAGUAGUAGAAGAAACACUUUUGUGGCUACAAGUUGCCUUUCAAGAAAACUCACUAACAUGAAGAAUUAGAAUAAAAUAACGUCAAUGUAUACUUAAAACUAAAAGCAGCCGGAUUGUUGUUGCCUAUUUAGACUGUAUUUUAAAGGUUUUGGACAAUGUUCUCUGUUUUGUAAUAAAAUAUUCUGUAAAUUUGUUAACUUUGUAUUUAUAAACUCCCAAUUUUCUAAUCUUC